rnacentral:rRNA from 1 species
CACUCCUGCGGGAGGCAGCAGUGGGGAAUAUUGGACAAUGGGCGCAAGCCUGAUCCAGCCAUGCCGCGUGAGUGAUGAAGGCCCUAGGGUUGUAAAGCUCUUUCACCGGAGAAGAUAAUGACGGUAUCCGGAGAAGAAGCCCCGGCUAACUUCGUGCCAGCAGCCGCGGUAAUACGAAGGGGGCUAGCGUUGUUCGGAAUUACUGGGCGUAAAGCGCACGUAGGCGGAUCGAUCAGUCAGGGGUGAAAUCCCAGGGCUCAACCCUGGAACUGCCUUUGAUACUGUCGAUCUGGAGUAUGGAAGAGGUGAGUGGAAUUCCGAGUGUAGAGGUGAAAUUCGUAGAUAUUCGGAGGAACACCAGUGGCGAAGGCGGCUCACUGGUCCAUUACUGACGCUGAGGUGCGAAAGCGUGGGGAGCAAACAGGAUUAGAUACCCUAGUAGUCCCAUGAU